rnacentral:tRNA from 1 species
GCCUUGGUAGUGUAAUGGAUCAGCACGACAUACUGGAUAUCUGUAAGUGCGGGUUCGAGUCCCGCCUGAAGUU